GACGAACCGUGCGAACGUUGUUCGGAUUCACUGGGCUUAAAGGGCGCGUAGGCGGCUUGCCAAGUCAGGGGUGAAAUCUUUCGGCUCAACCGGAAAAGUGCUUCUGAUACUGGCGGGCUGGAGGAGGGUAGGGGCAGAUGGAACUUCCGGUGGAGCGGUGAAAUGCGUAGAUAUCGGAAGGAACGCCGGUGGCGAAAGCGAUCUGCUGGACCCUUUCUGACGCUGAGGCGCGAAAGCCAGGGGAGCAAACGGG
rnacentral:rRNA from 1 species